rnacentral:rRNA from 1 species
AGCAGCAAGGAAUAUUGUGCAAUGGGCGAAAGCCUGACACAGCGACAGCGCGUGGGGGAAGACGGCUUUCGGGUUGUAAACCCCUUUUCUCAGGGAAGAAUAAUGACGGUACCUGAGGAAUAAGUCUCGGCUAACUACGUGCCAGCAGCCGCGGUAAUACGUAGGAGGCAAGCGUUAUCCGGAUUUACUGGGCGUAAAGAGGGUGUAGGCGGCUUCUCAAGUCGGAUGUGAAAUCUCUCGGCUUAACCGAGAGGGGUCAUUCGAUACUGUUGGGCUAGAGGGCAGCAGAGGGAGGUGGAAUUCCCGGUGUAGUGGUGGCAUGCGUAGAUAUCGGGAGGAACACCAGUGGCGAAGGCGGCCUCCUGGGCUGUUUCUGACGCUGAGACCCGAAAGCGUGGGGAGCAAACAGAAUUAGAUACUCUGGUAGUCCACGCCGUAAACGAUGGACACUAGGUAUGGGGAGUAUCGACCCUUUCCGUGCCGAAGCUAACGCAUUAAGUGUCCCGCCUGGGGAGUACGGUCGCAAGGCUAAAACUCAAAUGAAUUGACGG